CCUACGGGAGGCAGCAGUCGGGAAUUUUGGGCAAUGGGGGAAACCCUGACCCAGCAACGCCGCGUGAGGGAUGAAGGCCCUCGGGUCGUAAACCUCUGUCAGGAGGGAAGAACGGCGGUCGUUCGAAUAGGGUGGCCGUUUGACGGUACCUCCAAAGGAAGCACCGGCUAACUCCGUGCCAGCAGCCGCGGU
rnacentral:rRNA from 1 species